rnacentral:tRNA from 1 species
UCCCUGGUGGUCUGGUGGUUAAGACCUUGCACUUGCAUUGCAAAUGCACAGGUUCGAUCCUUGGUCAGGGAA